UUGACAGUUCUGGAGACUGAAAUCUUCCAUUUAACCACUAACCGGGUGUGGCACAGACAGAGGCAAUGAAAACCCUUCCCACUUUCCUACCACUUCUCCUCAAACUUACAGUGGAGACACUUUUAGGAAAGAAUGGAACACUGUUUUUAGGCUUGUGUUUAAUCCAGGGCCAUU
rnacentral:sRNA from 1 species